rnacentral:misc_RNA from 1 species
GAUGAAGAACGCAGCGAAAUGCGAUAAGUAAUGCGAAUUGCAGAAUUUCCGUGAGUCAUCGAAUCUUUGAACGCACAUUGCGCCCCCUGGUAUUCCGGGGGGCAUGCCUGUUCGAGCGUCAUUUCACCACUCAAGCCUCGCUUGGUAUUGGGCAACGCGGUCCGCCGCGUGCCUCAAAUCGUCCGGCUGGGUCUUCUGUCCCCUAAGCGUUGUGGAAACUAUUCGCUAAAGGGUGUUCGGGAGGCUACGCCGUAAAACAACCCCAUUUCUAAGGUUGACCUCGGAUCAGGUAGGGAUACCCGCUGAACUUAAGCAUAUCAAUAAGCGGAGGA